CGUUGUAACGGGUACUGGGCUUUGGGGAGACAUUUAGUUGGUGUAGGCUCAGUUCUUACCGGGUUGCACUGCGCACAGAUGAGGCAAGACUGAGUAUGCCUCACCAGGACAGGGGUUAUCCCUGGGGCCACCCAUAUUUUGUCUAUUAGUUCUUUCAUGAUGGUCUUAGAUUGGUGGGUGGGCCCAUGAGCUAUUGAAGCUAUCAGAGGAUAGAGAGCUUUGGGCAGAGAUGCUCUUUUUCCUUGGGUCCACAGUCCAGAUUCUUUCUCUUCUUGGGCUGACUCUUUUAGCCAAUCCAAUUUUUCUUGUGGCGUGGCCUGCUUCUGUAACUGGACUAGCAGGUCCCAGGAGACCUCUUUUGAUUUCUUGUUGUUCCAGCUCUUCG